rnacentral:rRNA from 1 species
AGAGUUUGAUCAUGGCUCAGGAUGAACGCUAGCUACAGGCUUAACACAUGCAAGUCGAGGGGCAGCAUUGGGGUAGCAAUACUCAGAUGGCGACCGGCGCACGGGUGAGUAACACGUAUCCAACCUGCCGCUUACUCGGGGAUAGCCUUUCGAAAGAAAGAUUAAUACCCGAUGGUAUAAAGAGUUCGCAUGUUCUCUUUAUUAAAGAAUUUCGGUAAGCGAUGGGGAUGCGUUCCAUUAGAUAGUUGGCGGGGUAACGGCCCACCAAGUCUACGAUGGAUAGGGGUUCUGAGAGGAAGGUCCCCCACAUUGGAACUGAGACACGGUCCAAACUCCUACGGGAGGCAGCAGUGAGGAAUAUUGGUCAAUGGACGAGAGUCUGAACCAGCCAAAGUAGCGUGAAGGAUGACUGCCCUAUGGGUUGUAAACUUCUUUUAUAAGGGAAUAAAGUGAGGGACGUGUCCCUUUUUGUAUGUACCUUAUGAACAAGGAUCGGCUAACUCCGUGCCAGCCGCGGC